GGGAGUAUAGCUCAGUGGUACAGUGUUUGGCUGUAAAUCAAGAAGUCCUUGGUUCAAACCCAAGUACCCCCU